CACAUAAACAUCAGUGUCGGGUGUAUUGGCAGUGACAGUAUGUUGAUUGCAAUUAAUGUGCUAUUAUAUUUUUAUUUAAUUUCUUAUGCGGGACAUUGUAUUGAAAAUGAGUUUGUAAGAUAUAUGUAUCGUGGCAACUUGAUGAGAAACUGAAUGGUUUAAAGUUAAAAGUAGUAAUGAUUGACACUAAGGAAUAUUUCAAGUAUUAUUUGAGUGUUUGUUUUUAAACUGGAACUGUGUAACUUAAGCUACAUUUCUUAACAACAUGGAAAGUGUCGGAAUUACUGAUGAUGAGGUGCAGAUUGCAAAGGAAACUGGAAAGAUUACUAACAUAAGUUUGCAUAGAAUUGAGCCAAAGGACAAAAAUAAAACUAGUAAGAGCAGCAGGUAAAGAACCUCUUGAAAAUAUCCAAAUUAUGCCUUCUUUGGAAGACAUUGCUGAAGAAUGGGCACAUGUCCCAUCAUUUGGCAGUGUCACUGGAAAAGAAUGUAAGAAAAUGAGCACCAUGGCAAUUACUGUCGAUGAAGCUUUCUGUCAUCUGCGAUCUUCAGAACUUCCGACUAUUGAGACUUGUCACAAUGGAGCAGACAGACUCAGGUGGAGUGCCAUGUUUCACUGGCUGCGAGCGCCACCUAAGUUGGACUCAGCUCUUAAGCCAGAGUACGAUUUGGUCCUGGCUAUUACCCAAUGCAGCUUCAGUUGGACUGAUGUUGUACAUUGGCGCAUGGUACAGACUGUGUACAAGCGACUCACAGGCUCUAAACUCGACUGUCCACAGUACGGCAGCCAUUGGCUUGAAAUCGGCUUCCAGGGCUCUGACCCCAGCAAGGACUUGCGAGGGGUGGGAAUGCUGGGACUGGUAAAUUUAUUAUAUCUAGCCACUCAUUCAACCACCCACACGCUUGCACUGAAACUCUACAGUGUUGCCAACUCUGAGACCCAACCAUUUCCACUUGCUGUGCUCAGUCUCAAUGUGUCCAGCAUAGCUGUCAAUGCCCUCAAAGGAGGUCGACUGAACAAGGAAUGUAACGCUAGGCACUCCGUGUUUGAUGUUAUCAACCUCUUCUACACGGUUGUUAUCAACUAUAUUUACAAUGUGUGGACGACUGAACAUAAAACACUCAAGGACUCUGGAAUAUUACUCAAAGAUGCAGAACGUUACUGUAACAAGCACGUCAGGAGGUUGCUAAGAGAACUGCCAGUAGCAUUGAGCAAACAUCAGUGAAAGCUGCAGAUAAAGUACUACAACUAUGCUUCCUAGUGAUGUGCCUUUACUUUUCUGUAAAAUAAAUUUUCUUCUGAGAACUUGGUCAAGCGUGAUGCAGAUUCUUGGAUGAAAAGAUUCAACACCAAAGAAUUGAAAUGUUAACCACUGCUCUAAGGAAUAAUUUCUGUUACACCUAGACUAAUAUUAUGUGUUUGUUAUAAUUUUAAUUUCUUUGUUAUUUCAGUUGCAAUAUAAAUUAUAACAAAAAAUAUUUCUAUGCAUUAAAUAUAUAUUAAACUUGAAUUACAUAUAACAUAGCCGACUGGCUUGAGAAUGGGCCUUAAUUUUUAAUAUUUUUUAACAUUAUAAGUAUUUAAGAAAAAAGGUGGUUUGACAGGCUUACCUAAUUGAAAUGAACUAUUAAAUAAUAGAAUAAAAUACUUUUAAAAAUUUAGAAAUUAUCUGUAUGAAUAUCUAAUUUAUUUUUAUGUGUUGUGUGCUUGUCUUAUGCAGAAGAUAUUUUAUUUAAAAAAGUCUUAAAUUUCAUUUGUCAGUCAAUCAGGUUGAAAGCCACCCUAGCCACAAGUGAAGUUAAUAUUUUAUAAAUAUGAGGAGGGUGAAUAACAUAUCAAAAUCACAUCCAUGCACAAGUAAUGCACAAAACUGAGUUUAUUCAUAAUUUUGUAAGAAUGUUAUGGAAAAGUUUGUUACAUUAUAGUAUUUUAAUUAAUAGAGAUCUUUUGUAAAAUACUAAGUAACACUUUACAAUAAACAAGUUAUUAAUUAUAGUAACACUAUCAGUGUAGAGGGCAUUUCAAACCUAAAAUCCCGGCCAGUUUGGUCUAAAAAUGUGUGUUCAGAAAAACCAAGAAGAAUUAUCAUUAUUAAAGAGAAUAAUUUGUUUUAUUGAAUAUAUUUAGUUGUACAAUGAGCUGUACGAUGUUAAAGAAAUGGAAAGCAAUAUUAACAGUAGUCUGUGCAACAAAAUGUUUUUAUAAAAAUAAUUUUAGAUAAAAACUUUUCUUUGUCCUAAUACUAUUUUGUUGCACUCAUGAUAAUGCUCCAAUAAAAGAUAAUAGUCAGUAAUGCUGGAAACAAAUAAAAGGUCUAUAAAAAUAAAUACCUAAGUACUUAAUUAUCAUUUGGAACACACUACACCAUUUAGAAGCCAUUACAGUUAUUACAUCUAAAUAUGAAUUAUAUCAUACAAUAACUUUUAUGUAUAAAACUUCCUUCUCCUAUAUCAAAUUUAGAUAUUCAGGGUUAAUAUAUAGCAAUUAUUAAUUCUGAAUGUCUUCUAAAUUCUAAUCCAGCUUUUAAUUAUAUUUCAAUUGGUUACAUGUAAUUUGACCCUCCUACCAAAGUAGGUAGGGCUUGGUAGUUGUACUUCUAAAUACUUUUAUUUCAAAUAUAAUGUUUUUAAACAUUAUAUCAAUGCAAAUUAGAUAAAUAAAAUUAAGAGAAGCAAUGUUCAUGUAUGUUGAAAGCAAUAAGAGAGAAUAUGUUUUAAAAAUUAUCAAAUGUAAAAACAUGAUUAGUUGCAUUUUUGUCUUUGCUAUCAGUUUUUGCUUGGAUAAUUACUAUAAGCAUUUAUUCUUUGAACGUUUACAAAAUAAGUAUGUUGUGUUAACAAUUAAUUUGUCUUUGAUUUUCAGAUGACAAUAUUCUUUUAAUAGUGUAUAAUAAUAUUAGUGGAUUAAACAGCUGAUUAUUAAUUUGUCUUGUCAUACUUUUUAAUAUAUUAGGAAUACUAAUCUAUAUUAGGCUAGUUGCACACACACCGAUUUUGGACGACCGAUUUUUCUGCACAAUGAAACAACAGCUGAAAUUUGGCGAUUUUCAACCAAACAAAACGGAUUUGUUCGUGAAGAUGGCGGAGCGAGAGCUGUGAGGACGAUCGGUAAACAAUCGGUGCCAGCAUGUGUUUAGUCACGUGCGCCACUGUUGUCACCGGCAACGGCGGUACGCAGUGGCAGUGGCCGGCUGCUCACUGGCAUUUUACCGGCGCCGAUCAGCUGUCGGCGUGUGUGCCAGGUCCCGUUCCCUCAUUCAGUUCACUAUUGGAAUUUGGACAGCCGGUAAAAAAUCGGUCGUCCAAAAUCGGUGUGUGUGCAACUAGCCUAAGUGCUGUAGUUUUGAUCUGUGUGAUUUUAAUGCAUAAUUUGUAGCCUUUAAUGAAUUAAUAUGUACUACUAUGCAGGGUGUUUGGUUAACCCUUUUAGUGCCAAGAGCAUAUAUGUAGGCUCAACCUGUUAGUCAUAAAACACCAAGAGCCUUUAUUUAGGCUGAAGUUAGUUUGGUGGUGAAACGCCAAGAGCUUAUGUAUAGACUUGGACAAGUUCGGACGUUAAGCGCCAAGAGCCUUUAUUUAGGCUCUCAACAUUUUCAUGCAAUACACAACCAUUUAUUGACUAAUAUCAAUAAAAUCAGUACUGAUUUAUGCAUUUUAUGUAAAAUGUACUAUAAUAGCAAGUAGCACUGCAUAGAAAUUCAUAUAAUAUUCAAACAAAAUAACAAUACACACAAAAAUGUUUUAUUAACAACAUAUGCGUUUCUAUGGUAAAAGUCAGUUUUGUAAUUUUUUUUACUAAUAAAUAUAUAAAUUGUUAGUAUAAUAUUACCAAAUUUUCACAGGUCUUUCUUAAUUAAAUGUAUUACACUAUAAUAGAGUUUUUCAGGCAUUUAUUAAGCUCUUAAUUUACACACAAAAAAUGGAAAAAGUAUCUAACUUUUAAAGGUAUACAAUUUUAACAGAACAUUUCAUACAUUCCAUUACAUGUCAUUGUUCCCCUAUUAAUAACGAAAAAUGAUGUCAAAAUCAUUGCUUUAUCAUAAAAUUUAGUGAAAUGAGAACUAUUUAUAUCUGUGUGUCAUGAUUCGUAAAAUUGCCUUGGUGCUACUGCCACAAACCCCGCAGCUAAGCUGCGGCGCCCGACGGGACAACCCGCACCAGUAACUCUGGCGUUAUGUGACGCAACCUGCUCAAUAUGCUUUGCUCUAAAAGGGUUAAGAUUUUUUACUUCUCAUCUUAAGAGAUUAUUAUUGUGACCUUAUAAUAUUUUAAGUAAAUUUAAACAUAUAAUACCACAUAAUUGGUAAAACCCUUAUAUUUCUUGUUUGUUACAGCAAAAUAUAAAUAGUUGCAUCUUUACAAUAUAUUAAAGUAAUACUCUUGUCGAUCCCCAAAAUAUUAUUGGGAUUCACCAAUAAUAGUCUUUAUUUGGCUUAUAUUAAUAAAACUCACUUUACUAGAGGAGUUUAAAUUUUAAUUGUGUUUUGAAAGUAAGAAAACCCAAAUUUUAAUUAAGUUCUUGAAUAUAAGUUUAGGAAUAUAUUUGCGAAAUCCAAAGUUUUUUGUCUCAAGAAAUAAAAAACCAUCCCUAAUAUACAGCAAUUAGGUUAAGUACAUAAAUUAAUGCCUUUUAUUCAUAUGAAUACUGUAGUUAAAAGAAGUUUCAAAUUUCAUAAUAAUAAAAAUAGUAUCUUUCUGUUUGUAUUAUAGUUAUGGUGGAAGGGGUUAAUUGAAUGUGAAUGUUUAUACCUUCCACUUAGUACAACAACUGAAAUCUGAUGCUAUAUACAGACUUGAAUCCUGGAAUCUGAUUUCGAUGUCUGUCUGGAGAGGACCAAAAAUGUUUCCGUCUGGGUGCUCUGAUGCUGAAAGUUUUCAUUGCCGACUUUUUUUUGUUCUCUCCAGUCAGAAGUGGACUCCAGAUUGCAGGAGUCAUCAAGUCUGUGACAGUGUCAGAUUUCAGACGCUGCACAAGGAAGGAGAAAUAAAGCUAAACAACAUUCGUGUUCUUCUCAUCAUGUAAUAUCAAAAUUAUCUGGUAAAAAGUAUUAUUUUAAUGGUAAAAAAAGAAAUAUUAAAAUUCUGUGCCAGCAUUUCAUCUUAGCAUUUGUUGUCUGUCAAAAGAAGUUUUCCUACUACUGUUUUAAAAGAGAUAUAUGUUUUUCUUAGUUUGUAUAAAAUCGUUUAUAAAAUUAGUUUAUAUUAUUUCAUAUGGACAUUUUUUUUUUUUAUAACGAACAGGGUGCAAAUAUUGUAGUGUUACACAAUCAUAUCGUAGAAGUGCUAUGCACAUUAAACAUUUCAAGGACUACUUCAUUAAGUGUUAUAAUUGCUCACUUAUGUUUUAAUCAGCAAACUAGAAAAUUAUUUGUGAUUUAAGCGUGUGAUUUGUAUAAUAAAGUGCUUUGGUAAGUAACAAUAUUAGCUUACAGCAGCAUUAUAGGUUGUAUUGUUUUUGAUUGCCAAUAGUUAUGAUACUAUGAUUACAGUAAUAUUAGGUUCUGAAUUGCCUCUUGUUGUUUUUACCAACUGUAUUUAUAAAGGGGGUAAUACACUAAAAUUUACUUUUUUUGGUUGUCAUUAUAUUGAAUAUUUUUGUCUCAAAAAUACUACACCAGUACUAAUUUAUUUAAUUCAAUUAAACUGGGAUUGCUGUUAUGUACAUUCUAGUCAGAUGUUAUCUGUGUUAAAGUUGUUAGAUAUUUGUGCUUCUAAUUUUCUAAUGUAAUAUCUUAUUUAUAAUUUUGUAGAAUAAAAAAUGAUCUCAGAUUGAA